rnacentral:rRNA from 1 species
UACAGAGGGUGCGAGCGUUAAUCGGAAUUACUGGGCGUAAAGCGCGCGUAGGUGGAUACUUAAGUCGGAUGUGAAAGCCCUAGGCUCAACCUGGGAAUUGCACUCGAAACUGAGUAUCUAGAGUAUGGUAGAGGGAAGUGGAAUUUCCGGUGUAGCGGUGAAAUGCGUAGAUAUCGGAAGGAACACCAGUGGCGAAGGCGGCUUCCUGGACUAAUACUGACACUGAGGCGCGAAAGCGUGGGGAGCAAACAGG